rnacentral:rRNA from 1 species
GGUGAACGCUGGCGGCGUGCCUAAUACAUGCAAGUCGAGCGAACAGAUGAGGAGCUUGCUCCUCUGACGUUAGCGGCGGACGGGUGAGUAACACGUGGAUAACCUACCUAUAAGACUGGGAUAACUUCGGGAAACCGGAGCUAAUACCGGAUAAUAUAUUGAACCGCAUGGUUCAAUAGUGAAAGACGGUUUUGCUGUCACUUAUAGAUGGAUCCGCGCCGCAUUAGCUAGUUGGUAAGGUAACGGCUUACCAAGGCAACGAUGCGUAGCCGACCUGAGAGGGUGAUCGGCCACACUGGAACGGAGACACGGUCCAGACUCCUACGGGAGGCAGCAGUAGGGAAUCUUCCGCAAUGGGCGAAAGCCUGACGGAGCAACGCCGCGUGAGUGAUGAAGGUCUUCGGAUCGUAAAACUCUGUUAUUAGGGAAGAACAAAUGUGUAAGUAACUAUGCACGUCUUGACGGUACCUAAUCAGAAAGCCACGGCUAACUACGUG